rnacentral:ribozyme from 17 species
UCUUCAUUCUCCAAUUCUCCUCGUCUUAAAAUUUUUGAGAAAAAAAAAAAAAAAAAAAAAGAC